UCCCGGCCCGGCCCCUCGCUCUUCUGUUUCCUCCACCCGCGCGUUCCUGGAAUCCGAAGCCGUAGAACGUGAGGGGGGUUGGAGCUGUUAGAAGCCCUCAAGGCCACAGUCAGUGGCUUUCAGGCCACGGCUUUUAGGAGAAAAACCAAAGUGAUUUUCUGCGAAAUUGGACUCAGUAUGUUAUAAAUUCCGGUCACUUCAACCAGGAUUUUAAAGAUGUUGGAGAUACACAGUGAAACCUUUUCUAUUUAAUUAAUUGAUUCAUUUGCAAAUAAGAAAACGGAUCUUUCCAGUGAUUUGACAGGUCUUGCCCAGGAUCAAAGAGUAGGAAGCCUCUACAACAAGGAUGUCAAGCCAAGUGUUCUGGAAACAACAGCACCAGUUAGCAUUUAUCCUCCGCGCGUCAAUGAGUAAUUAACUUUACUGAAUAUUCAAAUCAGAUGUUCCAGAAAGGCAAGAAGACUGAAAACCAGGAAGGCAGAGCCUGGGGACCAGAGAGCCAUUUCCAUGAUUCCCUCCCAGACUAGAAACAGGACAGAAGUUUUCUUGUCUCCUGACUAGAUAGUCCUGCUCUCCAUAAAUUUAUGAUUUUAAUA